GUAAGUAUAUACUAGAAUAGUUCAUUUAAAAAUUGAAAGGAAUGAUUGGGGAAACUGGUUUGAUUCCAGUACAGUGCCGCUACGGUAAGUCUCCCGACUUUAGUCGGGGGGACAAGUCCGAAUACCAAUCAUUUUGUUAAUCCCGAGC
rnacentral:ncRNA from 26 species